rfam:Callithrix jacchus chromosome 14, whole genome shotgun sequence
AUCCUUUUGCAGUUCAUAAGUGUGAUGAUUGGGUUUUCAUGCUCAUGUGUAAGAUGUGCUUCCCUCAAACCUUGCUAUAAUGUCAGCACAGUAUCUAUCUGACA